CCGCCGUGCCGUGCGCGUCAUCCCGCCUCCCCUCUUGGAUUGGCCGCCGCCGCGGCCCUCGGCCUUUCUAAUAUGGCGGCGCCCAGCGGAGCGGCGAGCUGUGAGGACUUCGCCGAGUUUCAGGAGUUGCUCAGGGUGAUGAGGACGAUCGAUGACAGAAUCGUCCACGAAUUAAACACUACGAUUCCAACGGCUUCCUUUGUGGGGAAAAUUGAUGCUGGCCAGACGUGUAAAGAGCUGUACCAGUCUUUGAUGGAUGCUCACACCAGCAGAGAGAGAAUCAUCAAAAACUGCAUUGCUCAGACUUCCAGUGUAGUGAAAACUCUCAGAGAAGAGAGGGAAAAGGCCCAGGAUGACGUAGCGUUAUUAAAGCAACUCAGGAAAGAGCAGACAAAGUUGAAAUUGAUGCAGUCGGAGCUGAAUGUUGAAGAAGUGGUAAACGACAGAAGCUGGAAGGUAUUUAAUGAGCGUUGCCGAAUUCACUACAAGCCUCCGAAGAGUCAAUGAUGUGGGGUAUUUUCCAUCAAGGUGGUCCAUAACCAUGAGAGCCGAACUGGAAAGAGACCUUGGGUACUGCAACUGCUCUAAGCAGAACUUUACUCCAGUUGGAGCGCUCGUCUCACUCUUGAAGUAUUCUCAUUGUUUUUCUGCAACUCUGAAAGCAGAAAACAUGUUUGUUCUUCAACUCUUAAAUUCUUAUAAUUGUUUAUCUUCGAAGUGGAAAUCAAAUACUGCUCAGAACUGUGUGCUGAAUUGCCAGUAACCUAAUUUCUACAGGAGAUGGUCCACUAAUGAGAUGUUGAGAACAGUUAGUUUUGAUUUCAAAGUUGGUACUCUUGAUACUGACCUCUAAUAUGGGCGUCUAAAAUAUUGGUUCUCUCCAGGGCUUGGAUCUACAACUGUGGAGACAAAUUCUCCUUUUAAGCCAGUUGUAUGAUAGAAACUUCUGCCAGUGUGUAUAGAGUUGUCAUCAAUACUCUUGAAAUUUAAGCUUGUAUUGUAUUUCUGUAGAAACUAGAGAAUGUAAUGAGAAUUAAUCACUGUCCUCCUCUAUCC